rnacentral:rRNA from 1 species
GAUGAACGCUGGCGGCGUGCCUAAUACAUGCGAGUCGAGCGAACGGACGAGAAGCUUGCUUCUCUGAUGUUAGCGGCGGACGGGUGAGUAACACGUGGAUAACCUACCUAUAAGACUGGGAUAACUUCGGGAAACCGGAGCUAAUACCGGAUAAUAUUUUGAACCGCAUGGUUCAAAAGUGAAAGACGAUCUUGCUGUCACUUAUAGAUGGAUCCGCGCUGCAUUAGCUAGUUGGUAAGGUAACGGCUUACCAAGGCAACGAUGCAUAGCCGACCUGAGAGGGUGAUCGGCCACACUGGAACUGAGACACGGUCCAGACUCCUACGGGAGGCAGCAGUAGGGAAUCUUCCGCAAUGGGCGAAAGCCUGACGGAGCAACGCCGCGUGAGUGAUGAAGGUCUUCGGAUCGUAAAACUCUGUUAUUAGGGAAGAACAUAUGUGUAAGUAACUGUGCACAUCUUGACGGUACCUAAUCAGAAAGCCACGGCUAACUACGUG